rnacentral:rRNA from 1 species
GACGAACGCUGGCGGCGCGCUUAACACAUGCAAGUCGAGCGAAGCGGCGGACGGGUGAGUAACACGUGAGUAACCUGCCUUAGACAUUGGGAUAGCCUCGGGAAACCGGGAUUAAUACCAAAUGGUCUAAGAUGGACUAGCGUCCCAUUAGCUAGUUGGUGAGGGAACGGCCCAUCAAGGCGACGAUGGGUAGCCGGCCUGGGAGGGGUGACGGCCACAUUGGAACUGAGAAACGGUCCAAACUCUACGGGAGGCAGCAGUGGGGAAUAUUGCACAAUGGAGGGAACUCUGAUGCAGCGACGCCGCGGGAACGAAGAAGGCUUUCGAGUCGUAAAGUUCUUUUAUAUGGGAAGCGGUACCAUAAGAAAAAGCCCCGGCUAACUACGUGCCAGCAGCCGCGGUAAUUC